rnacentral:rRNA from 1 species
UUAAAUUGAAGAGUUUGAUCAUGGCUCAGAUUGAACGCUGGCGGCAGGCCUAACACAUGCAAGUCGAACGGUAACAGGAAGCAGCUUGCUGCUUUGCUGACGAGUGGCGGACGGGUGAGUAAUGUCUGGGAAACUGCCCGAUGGAGGG